rnacentral:rRNA from 1 species
GAUGAACGCUGGCGGCGUGCUUAACACAUGCAAGUCGAACGAGAAGUGGAGACGGAAACCUUCGGGCGGAAGACUUUACUUCGAGUGGCGGACGGGUGAGUAACGCGUGGGUAACCUGCCUCAUACAGGGGGAUAACAGUUGGAAACGACUGUUAAUACCGCAUAAGACCACAGCACCGCAUGGUGCGGGGGUAAAAACUCCGGUGGUAUGAGAUGGACCCGCGUUCGAUUAGCCAGUUGGCGGGGUAACGGCCCACCAAAGCGACGAUCGAUAGCCGAUCUGAGAGGAUGACCGGCCACAUUGGGGCUGAGACACGGCACAAACUCCUACGGGAGGCAGCAGUGGGGAAUAUUGCACAAUGGGGGAAACCCUGAUGCAGCGACGCCGCGUGAGUGAAGAAGUAUUGCGGUAUGUAAAGCUCUAUCAGCAGGGAAGAAAAUGACAGUACCUGAGUAAGAAGCCCCGGCUAACUACGUG